GAUGAGCCUAGGUCGGAUUAGCUAGUUGGUGAGGUAAUGGCUCACCAAGGCGACGAUCCGUAACUGGUCUGAGAGGAUGAUCAGUCACACUGGAACUGAGACACGGUCCAGACUCCUACGGGAGGCAGCAGUGGGGAAUAUUGGACAAUGGGCGAAAGCCUGAUCCAGCCAUGCCGCGUGUGUGAAGAAGGUCUUCGGAUUGUAAAGCACUUUAAGUUGGGAGGAAGGGUUGUAGAUUAAUACUCUGCAAUUUUGACGUUACCGACAGAAUAAGCACCGGCUAACUCUGUGCCAGCAGCCGCGGUAAUACAGAGGGUGCAAGCGUUAAUCGGAAUUACUGGGCGUAAAGCGCGCGUAGGUGGUUUGUUAAGUUGGAUGUGAAAGCCCCGGGCUCAACCUGGGAACUGCAUCCAAAACUGGCAAGCUAGAGUACGGUAGAGGGUGGUGGAAUUUCCUGUGUAGCGGUGAAAUGCGUAGAUAUAGGAAGGAACACCAGUGGCGAAGGCGACCACCUGGACUGAUACUGACACUGAGGUGCGAAAGCGUGGGGAGCAAACAGGAUUAGAUACCCUGGUAGUCCACGCC
rnacentral:rRNA from 1 species